rnacentral:rRNA from 1 species
CCUACGGGUGGCAGCAGUGAGGAAUAUUGGUCAAUGGACGCAAGUCUGAACCAGCCAUGCCGCGUGCAGGAUGACGGCUCUAUGAGUUGUAAACUGCUUUUGUACGGGGGUAAACCCCGCUAUGUGUAUCUGGUUGAGAGUAUAGUACGAAUAAGGAGCGGGUAACUCCGUGCCCGCAGCCGCGGUAAUACGGAGGAGCCGAGCGUUAUCCGGAUUUAUUUUGUUUAAAGGUGGCGUAGGCGGUUUUAUAAGUGAGAGGUGAAAUGUCGGGGCUCAACCCCGAAACUGCCUCUAAUAAUGUUGGACUAGAGUAUAGUGACGGUAGGCGGAAUGUAUGGUGUAGCGGUGAAAUGCUUAGAGAUCAUACAGAACACCGAUUGCGAAGGCAGCUUACCAAACUAUAUCUGACGUUGAGGCACGAAAGUGUGGGUAGCAAACAGGAUUAGAUACCCCGGUAGUC